rnacentral:rRNA from 1 species
CUACGUGCCAGCAGCCGCGGUAAUACGGAAGGUCCGGGCGUUAUCCGGAUUUAUUGGGUUUAAAGGGAGCGUAGGCUGUUGGUUAAGCGUGUUGUGAAAUGUAGAUGCUCAACGUCUGACUUGCAGCGCAUACUGGUUUCCUUGAGUACGCACAACGUUGGCGGAAUUCGUCGUGUAGCGGUGAAAUGCUUAGAUAUGACGAAGAACUCCGAUUGCGAAGGCAGCUGACGGGAGCGCAACUGACGCUUAAGCUCGAAGGUGCGGGUAUCAAACAGGAUUAGAUACCCUGGUAGUCCGCACAGUAAACGAUGGAUGCCCGCUGUUGGUACCUGGUAUCAGCGGCUAAGCGAAAGCAUUAAGCAUCCCACCUGGGGAGUACGCCGGCAACGGUGAAACUCAAAGGAAUUGACGGGGGCCCGCACAAGCGGAGGAACAUGUGGUUUAAUUCGAUGAUACGCGAGGAACCUUACCCGGGCU